UCCCCCCCCUGUAGCCUCUGCUCUCCCAGCACCAUUAACCCUCACCCUGGCUCUGGCCCGACUCGGCUCUGCAGUAUAGAACAAUUGCUUUCUUUGACCCUAGCCCAGUCCAGUAACAACUUUUGCAGUGGUGGCAGCUUUGGCCAGGCCCUGGAUCCUCAGUGAUUUUUGCUGAUCAUUGUAGAAUACAACAUUUCUGUUAUUUGUGCUAGUCUGCUACUUUGCAUAUGCUGUCAGCAGGUUCUGUAUAUUGAUUUAAUGUAUAGAUUUUUUUUUUCUUUAAGAAAGGUGAACCACCUACAUUUUGAUAUAAGAGCUAUAAGCUAGUUUAAGCAUACAACUCUUUUUUCAAGUCAUUAUUAGGGUAAGAAUUGGCACAUCUGUAGGACAGUAGCAACGAGGGAUUCAGCAAGGAAGGCUUUAUAAGGCUCUGAUGUUUAUCAUGAGCUUUGCCAGCACUAAGAUAUUAUUUACUGGAAGUUCUUUUUCUGCCAGAAUUAUUAUAGCAUUAUCAAAAUCCUAUACAUAAUGAGAUGAUUGUACCUUUUUAGCGUUCAAUAAUGCGUGCCCAAUUGUCUGCUUCUCUUUCAAUGGAGUAUCAUGGAAAAUCUUCAUAUAAUAGCUAAAUUUACACGUGCAAUCUAUGCUUUCCACUUAUCAGCAUAUUUUUUUCUGCUUACCAUAAACAGAAAACUACAUCAACAUUUUCUUAACGUCUAUGAAAAAAUAAACAGAAGAGAAAAGUAUUCAUAUGGAGAAGUCUGGUCGGAGUUAUAGUUGACGUAACUAACAGGUAUAUUUUAAUAUGAGGGAAGAUGGUAGAAACCCUUCACGUGGAAAGUACAAGUACAAAAGAUGGGUCAGGUGCACCAGAAGUCUAAUUUACAGUGGUGUGAUUGGUUGUUGUGUUUGUGCAUAUACUGGCAACAGUGGAGAGGCUAACACACACGGGGAAUAUGCAGUAACAUUAUUCAGGUGCAAUGUAUUUACUGGGGACCUACCUUUUUAUGGAAUGUUACUUAGCCUUCCACCCCUCUCCUACUAUACACCUGAAUGGCAGCCUCUAUAAGAGGCAUAAAAUUGAGCAAGUUGAAAAAUGAAUAACUAGUAAUGACUAAAAUCAAAUGCUGGAAGAUCUAACCUAGAUACUGAAAAGAAAAUAAUAAAACAUAAUAACACUCUGGAAAAUGUUGAACUACGUCAUUACUGAUCUAGAUACUAACACAUAACACUUCAGCAAUAGUGAUCAGAAUAAUGCUCUGUAUUCAGAUCAGAGAGAAAAUAAAUCCCACAUUGUCUGUUAUUGUUACUAGCUUACAUUAGUACCUGGAGGUCCCUAGCUACAGCAGUGAGGCAUUAUGCUAAGUUUCAUAGGUAUGCAUAAUAAGAGCCAGUAGUUCCCUCAAAAAGCUUACUAUCUGGGUAGUAUAAAGGUAGACAGUCUUGGAGGUGAAACAAGGGCACAGAAGUGUUCAGUGGCCCUUCUACAGUGAAAGAAGAGGAAAAGAACGAUCAAACGACCCCUAGUCUUAUUCUAUCCAAUACACAUUUCUGCUUCCCACUACUCAGCGGCUGAAACCACUAAACAUUUCCAGUUCAGUGCAAAAGUGCUGUACUUCAGUGAAUUUAGCAUGAGCUCCAUUCCGGUUUGUGAGAAAUCUGUGAAGACAUAGUCAUAGGCUUCAGAAGUGCAAUAAAAUACAGCGUUUCUGAGAAAGAAGCAGCUUUUCUAUUUGUUUUUGCUAAAUUCACAUUUAGCUCAACUGUCUAUCUCUGAACCAACUUCCUAACACUUUCUACUAAUGCCCCAGUCAUCCACAAGGAUAGUAUGAAAAGCUUAGCUUUAGCCUCACUUGGAUUGCCUGAUGAUGGUUUAACAGAGACUAAGAUCAAGUUUUAUAGCCUUUAGUGUUCUAAAUGGACAACAAAAUAAUGAACUCAUAGAAAGUUUAUCUGUUGAUUAGAGAAAAAAGACUAUAUAGCAAAAGAGAAUUGUACUUGGCGAUUUUAGCAAAUUAAGCAAAGUUUAAAUAUACCACUAAAUGGAUUGACCUUAAUUAGCUGGCAUGGAAAUAAUGUAAUAUAUUUUGAUCAGAUAAGGUCAGAGAGAAAAUCUGCAUCACUCUACUUUGUUCAAGAUGGAUUAGGUAUUUCUUGUAGUCUACACAGUGAUUUGAGAAAAAAAAUGAUAAUUUCUUAUACACAGUAGAACCAUAACCUGUAUAUCUGUUUAAUUUUAAGAUAUUGAAACCUAGGAGAUGAAAAUAGCAUACCUAAUUUUGGUGAAAAGCAUAUUCUAAUAUUCUAGAAGAGCCAAAUCAUAAAUCAUGGACUUCUUUUCUCACUCAAAACUUUUAAUAUGGAUUUAUCAAUCUUCAUAAAGCAGACCAUUCUGCAUGCUAGAAUUACUCUAACAACAGUUUAAAAUACUUCAUCUAGAAAUUAUUAAUUAUAUACUGAAAAAAGUCUGUACUGGAGAGAUAUGCUCAGUGUUUUUCAGUAUUUAUUGUGUGUGUGUGUGUGUGUGUGUGUGUGUGUGUGUGUGUGUGUGUGUGAGACCCUGUAGGGUGUGUCCAGAUGAGCAUGCGCAUGCAGGGGCAUGUAUUUGCCACGGCAAAAAUAGCAACAGCAUAAAUUUGUGCUGAUGCUUUUUGCCACUGCACACAGCAGCCACGGUGUCUCUCUGGAGGACCCAGCCUCUGGGCCUGCCAACACAUGCUCCUGGAGCACUGUGCCACCUUUUUUUGCUGCAGCUUUUUUUUCAUAGCAGGAUCAUCCAGUACCAAAUUUUGGCACUGCACUGAAAAUUAGAUGUGCAGCGAAUGGUUUCACUUGCACUGUAUAUGGUUUGUGGUGCCUCAGGCACGUUUAAGGCACCGAAAACUGUACAUGCACACUCCUCUGGAUGUGCCCAUAUAGUUGUUUGCUUUUGAAAUACAUCUGUUUUCUACAGUCCAGAUAUGUAUGUAUCUCCUACCACACAUACUCACACACACACACGCACAUAUACAUACAUACAUAUACUGUGACUGUAUGUGCAAGGACUUUAGGAAUGCUUAGGAAAUGAAAACUGAGUUUCAAAUACAAGACUUUUAAAAUUAAAAUGCAGAUAUAAAGGGAAUUUACCAUAAUCAUAGUUAAGAAAACUCAUGCACUCAAUCUAUAAGCAGUUCUUUAGAACUUGUAGAGAGCUGCACUAAAGUUCAUCCUGCUUUGUCUUAUUAAUAUCCUAAGACCUCUAAUAGGAAGAAUAAUAAUCAGUUCAAAUAUUUUUAUUGUCAUAGGGCUCCUAUGACUAUCUUAGCAACAGUACAUUCAUUAAUGAACACUGUAAAUAAUUUUUAGAUAUAUAAAAAUAAUUUUUGUGUUUUCUCUUAGAAUGGACUUUUCACAAUUUAGUCAAAAAGGUGCAAUUGUAAUUUUCAUAGAUUUCAUAGACAUUAGGGCUGGAAGGGACCUCGCAAGAUCAUUGUGUGCAAAGGGCAGGAAGUCAGAUGACCCUAACAAGAUAAACAUCCAAAUGUUUCUUGAAGGUAUCCAAAGUAGAUGCUUGCACAACUUCUGGGUGGGAAUUUGUCCCAGACUCUGAAUACUCGAAUGGUAAAGAAGUUUUUCCUUAUGGCCAGUCUAAAUCAGUCUUCCAGCAGUUUGUGACCAUUAGACCUUGUCUAUUGUUGGGUUGUUGACAUAAUUCAUAGCAACUAUGAUUUUAGAGACUGAAUCUGCCAGUCAUGCCAUUGUAUUUAACUGGCCUAACAAGUACAAUCUUGUUUAUUUUUCUUCAUGUACUUCACGCUUAGCAGCAUAUACUUUAUACUUAGCAUUUAACAUAUCAUUACAAUAAUGUUCUAAUUACUAUUUUCCCUGAGCUUUUUCCAGAGAAAGAUGCCUUGUAUUCACUGAUAUAGUAUCAGUCCUUCAAUCCUCAUUUUAUGUUGGCAAAUCUGAAGUUAGUAGUCUCAGGAGUUACUUACCUAUACGCUAAGAUUAGGGACAGAAGUUAUACAUAAACCAGUUUAAGUGAUCAGAAACUGGUUUAAACCUGUAACAGAACAGAAGCUCAGUGCACAUAAAUAACUAAAACUGGUUUAAGAUAAGUCUGGUUGAAUGCAGUAUCAGAUUUAACUGAUUUGGGUCAAAUCUUUUUUUGAAACUUCUGUCCUAGUCCCCUUCCUGGUUCAAGUUAAAUCAGUCCCCCAGCAUCCCAGCAUGCUUUUCAGCCCUGUGCUAGACUGUGCUAUGCUAUGCUGUCUGCUCCAGAGAGCAGGGCUGGCCCCAUCCCUCUGCUCCCUAGCUGAAGCAGUGAGGGCUGGCUGACAAGCAGGUAUGGGGGGAGCAAGCCCCACUGGGGAUGCAGCCCAGUCUACGGGGGGUGGGGAUGGGACUGCACACCCCCAAGCCAACCCUGGCUGGGGUCUGUGUUCUGGGGCCAGGGAAGGGGGCUAAACACCCCUUCACCCCACUUAAAUUUACUGUUGGCUGCAAUUGUGGACUACGAAUCCCAGAGGCAUGUGGAAACAGGAAGAGGAAGUGAUGAGCAAAACUGCAAAGUCCUGCUCUGCUGUAAUUCUGGACUGCAAAUCUCAGACACCUGGGGGUGAAGGGGGACAGCAGGAAGAGGCAGUGAACACACAGCCAGAGAGCCAUUGUCAAGCACCCCCCAGCUUCUGGCCUAAGCCACUGCAGGCAUGUGGCUGCAUUUUCUGAAUCAAAGCUACAUACACAGAAAGGAACAACAAAAGAAGUCAGGCUGCUCUACAGCAAGAAUAAGGAGCGUGAAUCUUCAAAUAUUGGAUCAAAGUACUAACAGCCUCCAACUAUGAGACAAUAAGAGGAUAAACAGAGAUUGUAACAGAUUUAUUUUCCUUUUUGAAAUAAAGGACAAUUUCACACAUCCAACUCCACAUGCAUCUGGACACUGGUGAGAUCCUGGGUAGUAUCCAGCUUGGAUUCCAAAUGUUUCUUUUUUUAACCCUGUAAAUAUGCUUUUCAAGUCUUUGAUGAUCUCCAGCUGAUUUUAAAUGGAGUCAUCAUGUUAUUUGAGUCAUGCUGGUCCUCUCAGCAGUUUUUGAUAUGGUUGUCAAAUGGUUGUUUCUCUAGUGAAUGAUGGGUCACCAUUGAAAAGAUUGUUCAAUCAGUGGUGGGAAACUGUGUGACAACAGGGGGCUGAUCCUAAGCUCUUAUAUAUGUGAGACUUUCCAUGAUAUAUUGUCUCAUGAUGUUCAACAUAGGCACAACUACUCAAAAGUGCAAUUGGUUUUCUAUAGAGCUACAGAGAUAGAAUGAAUGUUGCUUCACUUUUUUCAUUCAUUGUUAAUCUGAUAACUAGCCUUUGUCAAAAAGAUGGUAAAAUAUCAUAUAUUAUUUUUAAAUGAAAACAAAGCAACUAACAAUUAAAAAUGGUGAAAUUUGCUGCUGAAUAUGUACUGUAAAGACAGAAAAAAAACAGAAAAUAUUAUGCCUUCAGUUUUUGUUUUGCACUGUUAAUGAUUAUGUGUAAUAUGGACAAUAUUUUCAGAUUAAAUGUACUUUUCAAGUUAA